GGUUGUAUGGUGUAGCGGUUAGCACCGAGGACUUUGAAUCCUCUGACCUGGGUUCGAAUCCCAGUACGACCU
rfam:Tetrahymena thermophila SB210 genomic scaffold scf_8254711, whole genome shotgun sequence.